rnacentral:rRNA from 1 species
UGCCCCAUAGUCUGGGAUACCACUUGGAAACAGGUGCUAAUACCGGAUAAGAAAGCGGAUCGCAUGAUCAGCUUUUAAAAGGCGGCGUAAGCUGUCGCUAUGGGAUGGCCCCGCGGUGCAUUAGCUAGUUGGUAAGGUAAAGGCUUACCAAGGCGAUGAUGCAUAGCCGAGUUGAGAGACUGAUCGGCCACAUUGGGACUGAGACACGGCCCAAACUCCUACGGGAGGCAGCAGGG